rnacentral:rRNA from 1 species
GGACGCAAGUCUGAUCCAGCCAUGCCGCGUGAAGGAUUAAGGCCCUCUGGGUUGUAAACUUCUUUUAUAGGGGACGAAAAAAGGGUUUUCUAGCUCGUCUGACGGUACCCUANGAAUAAGCACCGGCUAACUCCGUGCCAGCAGCCGCGGUAAUACGGAGGGUGCAAGCGUUAUCCGGAUUCACUGGGUUUAAAGGGUGCGUAGGCGGGCAGUUAAGUCAGUGGUGAAAUCUUCGAGCUCAACUCGGAAACUGCCAUUGAUACUAUCUGUCUUGAAUACUGUGGAGGUGAGCGGAAUAUGUCAUGUAGCGGUGAAAUGCUUAGAUAUGACAUAGAACACCGAUUGNGAAGGCAGCUCGCUACACAAAUAUUGACGCUGAGGCACGAAAGCGUGGGGAUCAAACAGGAUUAGAUACCCUGGUAGUCCACGCCCUAAACUAUGGAUACUCGACAUUUGCGAUACACAGUAAGUGUCU